UACGGAGGGUGCAAGCGUUGUUCGGAAUUAUUGGGCGUAAAGGGCGCGUAGGCGGUGCGGUAAGUCUGUAGUGAAAUCUCUGGGCUCAACUCAGAGUCUGCUGCAGAAACUGCCGUGCUUGAGUGUGGGAGAGGUGAGUGGAAUUCCCGGUGUAGCGGUGAAAUGCGUAGAUAUCCGGAAGAACACCAAUGGCGAAAGCAGCUCUCUGGGACGGUACUGACGCUGAGACGCGAAAGCGUGGGGAGCGAACAGG
rnacentral:rRNA from 1 species